CCUACGGGUGGCAGCAGUAGGGAAUAUUGCUCAAUGGGGGAAACCCUGAAGCAGCAACGCCGCGUGGGGGAUGAAGGUUUUCGGAUUGUAAACUCCUUUUGUUAGAGAAGAUAAUGACGUUAUCUAACGAAUAAGCACCGGCUAACUCCGUGCCAGCAGCCGCGGUAAUACGGAGGGUGCAAGCGUUACUCGGAAUCACUGGGCGUAAAGAGCGCGGAGGCGGGAGAGCAAGUCAGAUGUGAAAUCCCAUGGCUUAACCAUAGAACUGCAUUUGAAACUGUUAUUCUAGAGUAUGGGAGAGGUAGGUGGAAUUCUAGGUGUAGGAGUAAAAUGCGUAGAGAUGAAGAGGAAUACUCAUGGCGAAGGCGACCUGCUAGAACAUAACUGACGCUGAUGCGCGAAAGCGUGGGGAGCAAACAGGAUUAGAUACCCUAGUAGUC
rnacentral:rRNA from 1 species